rnacentral:rRNA from 1 species
AGAGUUUGAUCCUGGCUCAGGACGAACGCUGGCGGCGUGCCUAAUACAUGCAAGUCGAGCGGACCGAACGAGGGCUUGCUCUUGUUUGGUCAGCGGCGGACGGGUGAGUAACACGUGGGCAACCUGCCCGCAAGACCGGGAUAACUCCGGGAAACCGGAGCUAAUACCGGAUAACACCGAAGACCGCAUGGUCUUCGGUUGAAAGGCGGCCUUUGGGCUGUCACUUGCGGAUGGGCCCGCGGCGCAUUAGCUAGUUGGUGAGGUAACGGCUCACCAAGGCGACGAUGCGUAGCCGGCCUGAGAGGGUGACCGGCCACACUGGGACUGAGACACGGCCCAGACUCCUACGGGAGGCAGCAGUAGGGAAUCUUCCGCAAUGGGCGAAAGCCUGACGGAGCGACGCCGCGUGAGCGAAGAAGGCCUUCGGGUCGUAAAGCUCUGUUGUGAGGGACGAAGGAGCGCCGUUUGAAGAAGGCGGCGCGGUGACGGUACCUCACGAGAAAGCCCCGGCUAACUACGUG